GUUUAAAAUCAUAGAUAAAAAAUAAAAAAGAUUUACGAAAUAACUAAUAUGGUAAAUUUUCUCCUUUGCUUUUUACAAAUAAAAAAUAUUAAAUCAGCUCAAACUCAAAUAUGUCAAACCUUUCGCACCAAAAUCCUACAACGUGGUCGCAGUUCGCGUCUUCAAGGUCAUGUAUUUGGUGCGUCAAGUUCGCCGCCCGUAACAAAUUCGCGAAGUUCGGCCCUUUCCGCUUUAAAACAUAGCAUUUUUUAGGCGUAGAAAAAUAGAAUAUACUCAGUUUACUUAGAAACUGGCCCCCAAACUAUCUAACUAGGUCCAGUGUUUUCUAAAAAUACCGAUAAAAUUUCGUCCCAUUGCUUUAACACAGGGCCGUCAGCUGAUUAUGCCCCAGCCACUAGUCAUGACGUCACACUUCGGUUGCGUAUUGCUGUGAGCUCUUGAAGAGGGAGUGUUUCAAUAACAAUUUGUGGAUUAUUUGAGUUUCUUGAUAUAAAAAUCGAAUAAUAUUAUGAAUCAUUGUGUGGAAACUGCAAAUACUGAUAUAAUCAAUUGCUUAGUUUGGGAAUUGAUACACAUUUUGUAGAGGUUUGUCUGGCAAAUGGUGUAACAAACUGAACCUUCAAGCCUAUCAUGAUCUGAAGCUGCUGUAACAAAUCAAAAUUGCUUUGAUGUUCCAUAGUACCUUGUUGGAAAGAUUGGAGCAUGGUUCAAGAUGAUGUGUAAAAAUUCAAGAUUUGUGCAAAAGCUUAUGACUGAAGAGCGAAAACAGUUCAAUAUUAUGAUGGCUCAAUCAUCAAACUUGGAAAUGGACGACAAAAGUGGAGUUUCAACAUUCCAGCAUAAAAGAACAUGGCAUUGACUUCGGGCGACAUCUAUACUAUUCCUCACGAGACUGCCGACCAGCGCCAUCUAGCCAGGAAAACAAGAGAAGAGACUGAGAGCCACGAAUGCGGACUUCUGACCAAGACGACCCUUUAUAACAUUUAAUCCAGCUAAUCAACGAACGCCGAGUUUUCGUAAUACUCUAUGGUUGAUUUAUGUAACUAUGGCCGACAUAAGAUAGCUGCCGUCCAGUCGCGAGGCAGCGCUGCGCCAGUGCUCACGAUCGCGUCGUACCCUGAUGGAUCCGUGUUUCAAUCAUUGCUUCUUUGCGUUGCUUCUGCUGGUAUAUAUUGCGAAUAAUAAUAUAUACUGAGACACGAA